CCUACGUGUGGCAGCAGUAGGGAAUAUUGCUCAAUGGGGGAAACUCUGAAGCAGCAACGCCGCGUGGAGGAUGAAGGUUUUCGGAUUGUAAACUCCUUUUGUUAGAGAUGAUAACGAUGGUAUUUACCCAAUAACCACCGGCUACUUCCGUGCAAGCAGCCGCGGUAAUACGGAGGGUGCAAGCGUCGCUCGGAAGCACUGGGCGUAAAGAGCGCGUAGGCGGGAUAGCAAGUCAGAUGUGAAAUCCUUUGGCUUAACCAUAGAACUGCAUUUGAAACUAUUAUUAUAGAGUAUGGGAGAGGUAGGUGGAAUUCUUGGUGUAGGGGUAGAAUGCGUAGAGAUCAAGAGGAAUACUCGUGGCGAAGGCGACCUGAUGGAACGUAACUGACGCUGAUGCGCGAAAGCGUGGGGAGCAAACAGGAUUAGAUAUCCUUGUAGUC
rnacentral:rRNA from 1 species